rnacentral:rRNA from 1 species
AGUGAACGCUGGCGGCAGGCUUAACACAUGCAAGUCGAACGGCAGCACCGUAAUAGUUUGCUCUUCCGGGUUGCGAGUGGCGGACGUGUGAGGAAUAUAUCGGAAUCUACUUUUUCGUGGGGGAUAACGUAGGGAAACUUACUCUAAUACCGCAUACGACCUACGGGUGAAAGCAGGGGAUCUUCUCACCUUUUGCGAUUGAAUUAGCCGAUGUCGGAUUAGCUAGUUGGCAGGGUGAAGGCCCACGAGGGCGACGAUCCGUAGCUGGACUGAGAGGAUGAUCAGCCGCACGGGAAGUGAGCCGCCGACCAGACUCCUAAGAGAGGCAGCAGAGGGGAAUGGUGGGCAAUGGGGGCAAGUAUGAUCCAGCCAGACGAAGUGGGAGGAGGAGGCCUUCGGGUUGUGAAGCCGUUUUGUUGGGAAAGAAAAGCAGCAGGUUAAUACCACGCUGUUCUGACGGUAACCAAAGAAUAAGCACCGGCUAACUUCGUG